rnacentral:lncRNA from 1 species
AAAAAGAAAGAAAGAGGAGGGUGCAAAAUCAAAAGAAAUCAAAAGAAAGAAAAAGAAAGAAAGAAAUAAAAGAAAAUAGCACCCUCGAAGUCCCAAGUUGACUGAUGCUGAAUUCGAUCGAAAAGAAGAGAUCAGCUGCCAUGUGUCAUGGUCAGUCAUAUUAGCAGAGAGUGAAAAAGCAGGUCAAGCCUCGUGUGUUCCGAGAAGGUGACCUUGUGCUCAAAGAAGUCUUGUCUUUCGCGCCCGAUUCCAGGGGCAAGUGAACCCCAAGCUGAAUGUCC